rnacentral:rRNA from 1 species
UCGAACGAUGAACCACUUCGGUGGGGAUUAGUGGCGAACGGGUGAGUAACACGUGGGCAAUCUGCCCUGCACUCUGGGACAAGCCCUGGAAACGGGGUCUAAUACCGGAUACUGACCAUCAGGGGCAUCUUUGAUGGUCGAAAGCUCCGGCGGUGCAGGAUGAGCCCGCGGCCUAUCAGCUUGUUGGUGAGGUAAUGGCUCACCAAGGCGACGACGGGUAGCCGGCCUGAGAGGGCGACCGGCCACACUGGGACUGAGACACGGCCCAGACUCCUACGGGAGGCAGCAGUGGGGAAUAUUGCACAAUGGGCGAAAGCCUGAUGCAGCGACGCCGCGUGAGGGAUGACGGCCUUCGGGUUGUAAACCUCUUUCAGCAGGGAAGAAGCGAAAGUGACGGUACCUGCAGAAGAAGCGCCGGCUAACUACGUGCCAGCAGCCGCGGUAAUACGUAGGGCGCGAGCGUUGUCCGGAAUUAUUGGGCGUAAAGAGCUCGUAGGCGGCUUGUCGCGUCGGUUGUGAAAGCCCGGGGCUUAACCCCGGGUCUGCAGUCGAUACGGGCAGGCUAGAGUUCGGUAGGGGAGAUCGGAAUUCCUGGUGUAGCGGUGAAAUGCGCAGAUAUCAGGAGGAACACCGGUGGCGAAGGCGGAUCUCUGGGCCGAUACUGACGCUGAGGAGCGAAAGCGUGGGGAGCGAACAGGAUU